GGAGAGUUGUCCGAGAGGUCGAAGGUGCCGCACUCGAAAUGCGGUUUGCGUCGAAUAGACGCAACGUGGGUUCGAAUCCCAUGCUCUCCGC
rnacentral:tRNA from 1 species